rnacentral:rRNA from 1 species
AAUAUUGGACAAUGGGCGCAAGCCUGAUCCAGCCAUACCGCGUGCGGGAAGAAGGCCUUCGGGUUGUAAACCGCUUUUGUCAGGGAAGAAAUCUUCUGGGCUAAUACCUCGGGAGGAUGACGGUACCUGAAGAAUAAGCACCGGCUAACUACGUGCCAGCAGCCGCGGUAAU